UACGUAGGGUGCGAGCGUUGUCCGGAUUUAUUGGGCGUAAAGAGCGUGUAGGCGGUCUGUUGCGUCGGCUGUGAAAACCCGGGGCUCAACUCCGGGCCUGCAGCCGAUACGGGCAGACUAGAGUUCGGCAGGGGAGACUGGAAUUCCUGGUGUAGCGGUGAAAUGCGCAGAUAUCAGGAGGAACACCGGUGGCGAAGGCGGGUCUCUGGGCCGAUACUGACGCUGAGGAGCGAAAGCGUGGGGAGCGAACAGG
rnacentral:rRNA from 1 species